rnacentral:lncRNA from 1 species
AUGCCUAUGUUCAGAAAUUGUAUCCCAACAUUUCACUCAUAUUAUGUCUUCUUCACACUUACUGUUUUGACAGAGAGAAAAUAUUCAACUCUGGAAAAUGUGAUGAAAAAUGUACUUGUCCAUUCAUCACAUAUCAGUGAAUACUCUUCAAGGAUUUGAAACUGGCCUAGGACAUUAACUGCAACUUUUUGAGACCCUGAAGCAGAGGACCUAGUUAAGCCAUGUCCAAACUUCUGACCUACAAGAACUAUGAGAUUUAAAAACAAGUGUUGUUUUAAGCCUUAAUGUUGUUAGUAAUGUUGUUAUGUGGCAAACUUUAAUUAACACUUCUCAC